rnacentral:rRNA from 1 species
UACGUAGGGCGCAAGCGUUGUCCGGAAUUAUUGGGCGUAAAGCGCGUGUAGGCGGCUUUGCAAGUCGGGUGUGAAAGCCCUCAGCUCAACUGAGGAAGUGCGCCCGAAACUGCAGAGCUUGAGUGCCGGAGAGGGUGGCGGAAUUCCCCAAGUAGAGGUGAAAUUCGUAGAUAUGGGGAGGAACACCGGUGGCGAAGGCGGCCACCUGGACGGUAACUGACGCUGAGACGCGAAAGCGUGGGAGCAAACAGG